rnacentral:rRNA from 1 species
UACGGGGGGAGCAAGCGUUGUUCGGAUUUACUGGGCGUAAAGGGCGCGUAGGCGGCCAGCACAAGUCAGUUGUGAAAUCUCCGAGCUUAACUCGGAAAGGUCAACUGAUACUGUGCGGCUAGAGUGCAGAAGGGGCAACUGGAAUUCCUGGUGUAGCGGUGAAAUGCGCAGAUAUCAGGAGGAACACCGGUGGCGAAGGCGGGUCUCUGGGCCGAU